UCCGAAUUGGUGUAUCGGUAACAUUUCCGCCUCUCACGCGGGAGCGAGGGGUUCGAUUCCCCUAUUCGGAA
rnacentral:tRNA from 1 species